rnacentral:lncRNA from 1 species
CAAUAAUAUCUGAAGCCUGUUCAGUGUGGUUUCAAGCUGGUCUCCUGGAUCCUUUUCUAAGUGUCAUGCCUGUGUCAUCUCAUUAAUACUGAAACAAGCCAACUGUUGCCCUAGGCUACCUAUGAGCAAGUUGUGGCUAAGCCACUUGCUUAUGUUUUUAUGGUCAGUAAGAGGCAGAGCUGGGAUUCUGACAGUGGUUGGACACCAAAAUCCAAGUUGUCUAUACCAGGUAGUUGGGGUUGAGCAGGGAGGGAAUCUUAGCCCAUAUGAAACACCCAGGGGACAUCAAGAGGUGCUGUUAUAUGAUAUACAUGGUGACGGAGUUGAAUGCAGACUAGGGCCACUUUCAGUCCCCCACUCAUUGACCCAGCAGUCACUCCGGCCUUCCUACCAGAGGCCAUUUUGUACCUUGGCUGCCUGCCCUCCCCCAUUCCAUGGUCAUCUUCUGUGGUCUGUGGAGUGAUUUUCAAAAGGGUCCCUUUGUCCCUAUAAAGGCAACAAAUCAGAGAUUGGGGAAAGCCAGGAGGGAGAUGGGAGAUUCAUAAAUUGGCUUUGAAACGUAAGUCUUAGCACACAGGAUUAGGACAUGAAGUUGGCAUUUCUGAAAAAACAUGUUGGCCACAGCCAGAGCAGGACCCCAGUGCCAAAAAGGGACUGCAUCAGAGUCCCCAGGGGCCCUGCAAGCCCAGCGGGCCAGGCCCUUCCCUUCUGUUUUGGUGGCAUAGUUUCCACAUUAAGUAAUGUGGAUGUAACCUUCCUUCACAUUCUCAAAUCUACACAGAUACGUGCUUAUUAUCAUCUUGUGAUAAGCAGUGAUGCUGAUAGAAAGCAGUUUCCAGGGUCUGGGUCUUUAGAAAGACACAAAAGAGUGGCAAGGAGAGAUCUGUACCAUGACCAGAAUUAUGCAAAUGAGAACAAAACCAAAACAACUGAGGACCAUGAUUCCGAAUUCUCUUGGAACCUUCAUCAAUCAAUCUGUCCACAAGCUAAAAUCAACUCACUCUGAAGCCGUACUUUGUACCAGGAACAAAGGCUGCAUAAAAUAAAGAACAAGAACAAUACCAUCAGUGUUUGCAGAGAAACCAUCUGAUAGCACUCUUCGGGAUAAAAUCCCUAUGUGACCCCUUCAUGAGAUCGCCAUCUGGUUUGGUUUCCGAGACUUCUGGCAGUUGCACGGUGCUGGGAUCUCCCUCCCGGCUGCCUCUGAAAGACGGACAGCGACCCGGUGAGC